rnacentral:tRNA from 1 species
AGGGCGGUAGCUCAGGGGUGAGAGCGGCGGCCUGUAAAGCUCGGUGUCGUGGGUUCGACUCCCACCCGCCCUA